AUGGACAUGAGGACCCUUGCUCAGCUCCUGGGGCUCCUGCUGCUCUUGAUCUCAGGUGCCAGGUGUGACAUCCAGAUGACCCAGACCCCACCCACCUUGACUGCAUCUCCAGGAGACACAGCCUCUAUCUCUUGCAGGGCCAGUGAGAACAUUUAUGGUAAUUUAGCCUGGUACCAACAGAAAGUAGGGGAAUCUCCUAAACUCCUGAUCUAUGGUACUAGUAAUUUGGCAUCUGGAGUUCCACCCAGGUUCAGUGGUGGUGGAUCUGGGACAGACUAUUACCUCACCAUCAGCAGCCUGCAGUCUGAAGAUGUUGCCACUUAUUACUGUAUGCAGUAUUAUAAGAAUCCUCCCACGGUGAUACAAGUCAUAACAAAAACCUCCCAGGGAAGAAGUGAGAGGCUGGGCUACCCCAGCUGCUAA